rnacentral:rRNA from 1 species
GAUGAACGCUGGCGGCGUGCCUAAUACAUGCAAGUCGAGCGAACAGACGAGGAGCUUGCUCCUCUGACGUUAGCGGCGGACGGGUGAGUAACACGUGGAUAACCUACCUAUAAGACUGGGAUAACUUCGGGAAACCGGAGCUAAUACUGGAUAAUAUAUUGAACCGCAUGGUUCAAUAGUGAAAGACGGUUUUGCUGUCACUUAUAGAUGGAUCCGCGCCGCAUUAGCUAGUUGGUAAGGUAACGGCUUACCAAGGCAACGAUGCGUAGCCGACCUGAGAGGAUGAUCGGCCACACUGGAACUGAGACACGGUCCAGACUCCUACGGGAGGCAGCAGUAGGGAAUCUUCCACAAUGGGCGAAAGCCUGACGGAGCAACGCCGCGUGAGUGAUGAAGGUCUUCGGAUCGUAAAACUCUGUUAUUAGGGAAGAACAAAUGUGUAAUUAACUAUGCACGUCUUGACGGUACCUAAUCAGAAAGCCACGGCUAACUACGUG